rnacentral:rRNA from 1 species
AGCAAGCACCGGCUAACUCCGUGCCAGCAGCCGCGGUAAUACGGGGGGUGCAAGCGUUACUCGGAAUCACUGGGCGUAAAGAGCAUGUAGGCUGAUUAGUAAGUUGGAAGUGAAAUCCUAUGGCUCAACCAUAGAACUGCUUCCAAAACUGCUUAUCUAGAGUAUGGGAGAGGUAGAUGGAAUUUCUGGUGUAGGGGUAAAAUCCGUAGAGAUCAGAAGGAAUACCGAUUGCGAAGGCGAUCUACUGGAACAUUACUGACGCUGAGAUGCGAAAGCGUGGGGAGCAAACAGGAUUAGAUACCCUGGUAGUCCACGCCCUAAACGAUGCACACUAGUUGUUGCUAUGCUAGACAUAGCAGUAAUGCAGUUAACACAGUAAGUGUGCCGCCUGGGGAGUACGGUCGCAAGAUUAAAACUCAAAGGAAUAGACGGGGACCCGCACAAGCGGUGGAGCAUGUGGUUUAAUUCGACGAUACGCGAAGAACCUUACCUGGCCUUGACAUAGUAAGAAUCUAAUAGAGAUAUAAGAGUGCUAGUUUACUAGAGCUUACAUACAGGUGCUGCACGGCUGUCGUCAGCUCGUGUCGUGAGAUGUUGGGUUAAGUCCCGCAACGAGCGCAACCCUCGUGUUUAGUUACUAACAGUUCGGCUGAGGACUCUAGACAGACUGCCCGGGUAACCAGGAGGAAGGUGAGGACGACGUCAAGUCAUCAUGGCCCUUACGGCCAGGGCUACACACGUGCUACAAUGGGGUAUACAAAGAGCCGCGAUACCGUGAGGUGGAGCAAAUCUCAUAAAAUAUCUCCCAGUUCGGAUUGAAGUCUGCAACUCGACUUCAUGAAGUUGGAAUCGCUAGUAAUC